CUGGGGCCGGCCGCGCUCUCGGGCUCGCAGGCGCUGGGUCUCGGCUCCGGCUCCGGCUCCGCGCCGCUGGCUCUGCGUCGCUCGCACUCCAGCCGGGGGCACCCUCAUCCCAGGCUGACUGACGUCCCUGGCACCCAAAUGUCGCGGGGAGUGCGGGGCCAGGGUGCGCCCUCCCUCCUCCUCCAGCCAGUGAAACCCGGGACAGCGGCACCCAGCCCCAGGGCGGAGGCCGUCUCUGCUGCGCGCAGCGACGCACCCAGGCCCAAGGGCCGGGAGAUCCGCGGGGAACCCGGAGACCUGCGUCCCAGAGGGGCCGAGGGUUGCACCGCGCCCGCUCCCACGGGCCUCUUCCGAGAGGACGCUUCUCCCUCGUGUCCGCGGGAAGUCCUCGGAUCCUGGAUGAGAAAGAGCCUUCUCUCACCGGCUCCCAGACCCCGCGCUUUUUAAUACCUGUCCUUGCAGAGCGACUGGUCAUUUUAGGCCCGAGUCGAGCCUCUCUUGAUUAAUAAAUGAAUAUGGCUCGUUUUGUUUUAAGUGUGCGUGGAUGUAUACGUUGUAUUGUUUUGCAAUUCAACACCGCAAAGAUCUGGGAAAAGUUCUUCACCUGCAUUAAGGAAAGCAAUUACAAACUCGUAGUCCAAACCAGAAGAGCCAGAAAAUCAAGUAGAAGGCUCAGGGUAGGAUGAAACCAAAGGGAACAGGAAUCGUUUCUUCCUUUUAAUAAGAUGUCAGGUUAUUGGACUCACUUGAUGAGAGGCAGCAAAAUGAAUCGAACACAGCCUGGGUUCAAAGCCUGACCCCGCCAUCUAAUGAUGUGACCUUCUGCAAAUUCUUAGUCGCUCUAUGCCUCAAUUCUUUAAUCUACAAAAUGGGAAUAAGGACGCAGCUACCGAACAGCUUCUACUCUCCUGCUGUGAGGAUUAAAUGAGUCAGCAGUUCCGAACUGCUUCAAUCGGCCUGGCUCAAGGGAAGCUCCACGGAAGAGUCAGCUAGGAUUAUUAUAAAUUGGUUAUAACAAAGAAGCGAACACAUUCCGUUGCUAGCGCACAGAUUAAGACUCAAUAAUGCCACAUACCAACUGCCACUGCUCUGACAAAUAUUUCUGUCAUUUCAAAAAAAUAUCAUGGCUGCAGCUUUUCAUGACAAAAGAAAACCAUUGGUUUCUGGGCCUCUUAAACAGCUGCACUGAUGGACAUAUUCAUAAUAAUGCUGUACUGUUUGACUUUCCAGAAGAUGUAACUUCUUUAAAGGAUUCACCAAAUUCAACAGCCCCUGAGCCACUCACUCACUGCCAUGUUCACAAGUCCACCUCAAAAGCAAAUAAAAUGAGAAUUUGCUGUCAGAGAGGAUCAGCUGUCUUUUAAAAAUAUUUCAGAGCUCAUUAGAAAUGUAUGACGAGGGGAAAAAAAAUACCAUGGAAGAACAGAGGAGAA
rnacentral:lncRNA from 1 species